GGGCUAGGGCUCUAGCUGGUGGGCCUCCAGGCAAUUGCGGGUCUGAACUGAACCAGAGCUUUGGAGCUCAGGGCGAAGGCUCCACCCUGCAGUCUCAGCGGAGACAGGAAAAUUACGUUGAACUGAUGGCGGCUGUACUAACGAGGAUGGCAAAGGCUCAUUGCUCGCCUCUCAUUUUUCUCUCUUCCUAUGGCUGCAAGGCCGCAUCGGAGAGAACCUCGUGGGAUUUGAUUGCAGCGGUUUUCUUUUUCCAUAGCUCGGAUUUUGUGAGAUUAUUUCCCUAUUGAUGGAGUUUUUGAGCUUAGAAAACUUAAUUAGCUCCACUUAUUUCCAAAAUGAUGUUCCAGAAUCUGGAGUUAUUUUAAUAUGUUUAAAGGUACACUGGAUGGAAAUAGAUUUUUUUUUUUAAUUUAAAAACAAAACAUCGUUCAGUGAACGACUGUGUUUGGAGCUCAAAGAACCUGGUUCAUAAUUCCAGUCUGGGGCCUGGUGCCUCCUGCAGCAGUGGGUGGUGGUUUGUUUGCCUGUAUUGGCCUUGUGCUGAGGAACGGGACCUGGGCUGAGACCUACCUCCUUCACAUUUGAUGGGAUUUACCUGUGUUUUCUUUGAAAAGACCUGAGUGCGCUGCAAGGGCCAGCACCAGCCACACUUAAGGAGCCACAAGUCUUCAUAAGGUCCAAGAAAAUGGAAGGGAUCCCAGUUCAAGCUGGAGGUGUCAUCUGGUUCUAGCCAGCUGGGUGACAACCAGGGUGACAGUGUUGAGGUGCUAGUUAAAAGGAAUAGACAUUCUCACUGAAGCAGUGGUCAUGGACCUUUGCAGAAGUAGCUACAACCCUGUGCACACAGCCCAGCCUGCCCAGAACUGGGGUCUUUUAUCUCUGUCUCACCUCUAGCUUUCUCCGACUACAGGCUUUGUUCAUGAUGGUGCCUCCUCUGGCCUCUUGUGCUUAUUUAGUUCUGCUGAGCAGUAAUUGUUAUAUGAUGUAUGAAGUGGGGAACACAGGCCCCUGGUGAAAGUCUGGGGGUCUAUUUUGAUUUUUUUGAAGUUGCUGUUAAAAUAAAUAAGUAAACAAUACAAAAGAAAAAUCUUCUAACAUACAGGUGACAUUCUCUGGUUCUGGAUACAAUGUGAGGUUGUUCCGUUCAUGUCUCCCAUGUUUAAGGAGACUCAGUCUUCUUUACGGGCGAGCUUCCUAAUAGGUUAGCCAAUCCCAAGUGGUCAGCCCUAACACAUAUGCAUACAGCCAACACUAAGGGACUUAGUAAGUGGUAGAUAUAUGAACAUGUGUCUAUACAUGUAAUAGUAAUAUUAAAGAAGUGGUCAUGAAUUUGAAAGAGAAUAGAAGAGAGACACAGGAGGAGUUGGGAAGAGAGUAAAGGAUGGAAAUGAUGCAAAUACUGGUGGGGUCACACAAGAGGAAGAGCAACACAGUGUUAGAACUUGUGGAGUGUGGCCCACUGAUUAGCGCAACCGUGAUGGGUGAGACUCAGAGAGGCAGAGCCCCGAGGACUAUGUGUCCUGAAGUCUUCAUGCUGUUAAAGAGUUUUGCUCUGGUUGCUGCCCUCACACUACACAUCCCUCAAAACCUAGGAGUUGUGUGAAAAUUCUGAGGGGGCUUCCAGCCCCUCACUGGGCAAUGCCAUUGGUACUUACAGUAUUAGUGACUGGUCCAUUUUAAGCAUUAUUGCCGAUUAAUGCAGGUUAAUGAUUCAUCCACCAGCCUCAGAAAGGUAUUAAAGGUACAGAGUGUUAGCAACGACCACCAUCCUUAGAAAGAGUUUGGUGAUGUCGAUUGUUAGUAAAGUUAGGCUAAUAUAUUUUUUUGCUAGUGUCUCUGAUGUAGAAAAUCUUGGGGAACAAUAAAGGCACACUUUUAAUAUUGAGCGAGGAAUGUUUUUUGGGUCAGGGAACAAGAACAAUGGCAGCCGAGCCAGCACUAACUGACGUGAUUCUCUUACUAAAGCUGGCCUGGUGAUCAGCUGAUGAUUAAUUUCUUGUGCCCAUUUUGGUCCUCAGUGUCCUGAUAGAAUUUAACAAAAAAUGGUUAAUGAGUAGAUGUGCACCCCGAGGAGUUAAAAGAGAAAGGAAUGAUGUUUUUAUAUAUAAAGGUUUAGAUUUGUGAUUCUCUUUAAGAUUUUAAUAAGAUUACUUUUUAAGAUAAAUAAUAAAAUAAUCGAUCCUUUCUUUGUAGCUGCAAAUUGCUGCCUGUCAGUAAGAGGAACUGGCUGAGAAAAUCACCUUGCCUGCUCAUGCUUUGUUAAUCUAUAACAAGUUGCUUAGUUACAAAUUCGUGUGGGUUUUGGAGAAUAUUUUUUUUAAUCCUUAAUACGUAAAACAUUUGAUCAUGUGGGGGUAUUAGGGAACAUUUUUUUUUAUGUAUACUCAUUGUAAUCACUCACUGGAAUAAAGAUAGAAUGUAACC